AAGAUCAACUUUUGUGUCCAACACACUUGGAUGAGACGUGCCCGACCCCUGUCUUUGUCUUCCCUACGUUAAGUUGUGAUAGCACACUUCUUGACAGUCAACAUCGGUAUCAAGAUGGUGUGAUUGAUCUAUACCCUACAACAAUCAAUGACACCAUGAGACGUUCCAAUAAUGAACAGCCAUCUUCCAGACAGAUACAUCAUGAAUCGUUCUACAGGCCAUCGUGGACUACCGAAAGAG